rnacentral:rRNA from 1 species
CCCUUAGAUGUUCUGGGCCGCACGCGUGCUACACUGAACGGUUCAAUGGGUAAGGUAGUGCGAAAGCAUGACCUAAUCUCGAAAUCCGUUCGUGCUGGGGAUAGAAGCUUGCAAUUAUCCUUCUUGAGCGAGGAAUACCUUGUAAGCGUGAGUCAUCAUCUCACGCUGAAUACGUCCCUGCCCUUUGUACACACCGCCCGUCGCUCCUACCGAUUGAGUGUUCCGGUGAGGCUUUGGGAGAAUGGCCUCAACAUGAGUUUAUCGUGUUUUGCCGUUUGAACUUAGUCAAACCUUAUCACUUAGAGGAAGGAGAAGUCGUAACA